UACGGAGGAUGCAAGCGUUAUCCGGAAUCAUUGGGCGUAAAGCGUCCGUUGGUGGCGUUUCAAGUCUGCUGUCAAAGCACAAGGCUUAACCUUGUAAAGGCAGUGGAAACUGAAAGAGCUAGAGUGCGGUAGGGGUAGAGGGAAUUCCCAGUGUAGCGGUGAAAUGCGUAGAGAUUGGGAAGAACACCGGUGGCGAAAGCGCUCUACUGGGCCUGCACUGACACUGAGGGACGAAAGCUAGGGGAGCGAAAGGG
rnacentral:rRNA from 1 species